CCCCAGACUCCUACGGGAGGCAGCAGUGGGGAAUAUUGCACAAUGGGGGGAACCCUGAUGCAGCGACGCCGCGUGGGUGAAGGAGCACCUCGGUGCGUAAAGCCCUAUCGGCAGGGAAGAAACAGACGGUACCUGACUAAGAAGCCCCGGCUAACUACGUGCCAGCAGCCGCGGUAAUACGUAGGGGGCAAGCGUUAUCCGGAUUUACUGGGUGUAAAGGGAGCGUAGACGGCAAUGCAAGCCAGAUGUGAAAGCCCGGGGCUCAACCCCGGGACUGCAUUUGGAACUGUGUAGCUGGAGUGUCGGAGAGGCAGGCGGAAUUCCUAGUGUAGCGGUGAAAUGCGUAGAUAUUAGGAGGAACACCAGUGGCGAAGGCGGCUUACUGGACAGUAACUGACGUUGAGGCUCGAAAGCGUGGGGAGCAAACAGGAUUAGAUACCCCGGUA
rnacentral:rRNA from 1 species